UCCCUUGGGUGACGCAGUGGCGGACGGGUGAGUAAUGUCUGGGAAACUGCCCGAUGGAGGGGGAUAACUACUGGAAACGGUAGCUAAUACCGCAUAAUGUCGCAAGACCAAAGAGGGGGACCUUCGGGCCUCUUGCCAUCGGAUGUGCCCAGAUGGGAUUAGCUAGUAGGUGGGGUAACGGCUCACCUAGGCGACGAUCCCUAGCUGGUCUGAGAGGAUGACCAGCCACACUGGAACUGAGACACGGUCCAGACUCCUACGGGAGGCAGCAGUGGGGAAUAUUGCACAAUGGGCGCAAGCCUGAUGCAGCCAUGCCGCGUGUAUGAAGAAGGCCUUCGGGUUGUAAAGUACUUUCAGCGAGGAGGAAGGUGUUUGAGGUUAAUAACCUCAGCAAUUGACGUUACUCGCAGAAGAAGCACCGGCUAACUCCGUGCCAGCAGCCCGCGGUAAUACGGAGGGUGCAAGCGUUAAUCGGAAUUACUGGGGCGUAAAGCGCACGCAGGCGGUCUGUCAAGUCGGAUG
rnacentral:rRNA from 1 species